GUAAAGUUUCUUUAUUUUCAUAAUAACUUUAUUUUUUAUUUUUUUAUGUAAUCUUCGCCUGGCGUUGUAGAAAAUGUAUUUGAAUUUUUAUACUCUUGCAACAUGUUGCUACAAAGUAUAAUCGUUUAGAUAUAAGGUUAUAAUUAUAAAUGAUCAGAAUGGUGAGACGAGUUGAAAUCCGGGUGACUGUCUGUCCGUCGUGUAACAUGAGUAAAAAUUGCGAUAUCUUAAUGAAGCUUUGUUCACAUGUUUCUUGGUGCCAUAAGAAUGUUUUUAUUUUAGAUGGGCGUAAUCGGACCACUGCCACGCGGCCGGACCACCACAGAAUGUUGCGGCCGACGACAGGGAAACGGCCGAGAGCUCCGCCAGGGAAAAGACGUGGCGAACCCACAGAACUCAGCGCCGAACCGGCAAAUAUUAUGCAUCAGGAGCGCGGCCGGUUAUACGCCUUAAUCAAGCUUGGCGAAGAACCGGCGGAAGCCGUCAUCGACACCGGCGCCUUAAAAAGUUUCGUAUCGUCACGAGUUGCAUAACGUAUGGACGCAACCGGUGUGGUAAGAUGGUAACCGUAGCCAUGCAAAUGGCCGACGGCACCACCAGCAAGAUUUACGACGCCGUAGAAACCAACAUCCAACUCGGACAGUCAUGGCUCCAAGCAGUGUUACAUGUUAUGCCCGGUGCAAUUCAUUGACGUCAUACUCGGAUUAGAUACACUGGGAAGCAUGGGAGCUAAGUUGCCCUGCGGAGGUCACUAGGUAGUGCUGACAGCGGCAGAUGCUCAGCAUUCAGCGGCCUUUCACACCAACCCAUCAGGAAUGGUAGGCAACGCAACCCCAACUACACCAAAUAGCCGACUACUAAAACCCAGUAGGACGAAGCACGUAAGCUAAAGUGCAGGAGGAUUAAUAGAGUCGAGCCUAGAUCGACCACCAACCAGAGAAACGAAGCGGCCCGCAUACGCGACGUCUUAGCCGAGGAGCUUCAAAAAUAUAUACGAUCAUCAAGAUAUCUUAGUUUUCGCUCAAGUUGUCGUUGCACGGACGGAGGGACAGACAGUCAACCGGAAUUCAAUUCGGCUCGUCAUCCUGAUCAUUUAUAUCUCAAGCAAAAAAAAAAUAGUAAUAUAUAUACAGGUUGGUUAAAAAGUUUCUGCGUUCGAAAUGAAAAAAUAUUGUUUUUGGAUCGUAUAGAUCGUACUAUAUUUUUUUAUUCAGUAUAAACUCCCUUAACUUCAAUACACUUAUUCCAAUGAUCCUCCAAUAAAAUCAUGGCAUCCCUAUAAUGUCUUCUCGGAAACUCUGGAAAAUACCCGUCUACGGCUGUAAAAGAAUCUUCAUUCGACGAAAAACGCUUUCCACCAAGGAAUUGUUUCAUGUUUCUGAAAAAUUAGUGGUCGAUAGUAGCCAAAUCUGCUAAUACGGUGGAUGCUCAAGCAAUUCGUACUAUAAUUCGUUGAAGUUUGUCAUUCUUAAAACACCUUUGUAAGCAGGUGCAUUGUCUUGAUGAAAAAUUAAUUUCACGCUUAGUCAAUCUUGGAUCUUCAUCUUCAAUCUAAACUUGCUCAAUGAUUUCUGGUGUGGUUGUGAUUAUCUUGAUUAGUUUUAGGUGUUAGAAAUAACUGUUAGGUGAACAAAACUAUUGUAAUAAAAACCAACCAUGUUGAAAAUAUUGUAAACAUGUUUUUAAAAAAUGUUUGUUAAGAAGUUAUGUUUUCGUGGAACUAUUUUCCUCCUUUAAAGCUUUGGUGUUUCAUCACUUAUGUCAUGCAGGUGCAGUAUUAAAAUUUGGAAUGCUGUAAUUCCAGAAUCUUGUAUCGAUAUACAAUAAUUUAGUUGAAAUGACUUGAUAUGAAAGUGUACUUUAAAAAAAAAAAAUAUUGUUAACAAUUUAAAAACCAAAAACACCAAAUUUUAUGUCCUAGCUUAUUUAAAGAAGCAAUGAACUUUUUUCUUUUUAAAUAACAUGAAGGUUUGAGCUAAAUAAAAAAUUUAAUAUUUGGUGGGCACCCUUUAGGUUUUAAUAUGGAAUUAGCCUAACUGUUAUCCAAAAAAGUACAUACGACAUAUAUACGAAGUACAUCGAUCACGAAAUAUUGGAUUAUUCCUAACUUUUCUUUUAACAUAAGGACGUUUUCGUCUUGAACCGUCAGAGCAAAGUUCACUAUGUGGCAGCCGUCCAAACCAAAAAAUCGUCUUUAAACAUUACGGCUACAGCAGCGCAAAUGUGCAUUACUGAAAAACAAGUAUACAGCCAUUUUCAUGUUUUGCUCUUUGGCCAUGAUGUACGCACCACAAGCAGUUGAACCGAAAUAUCAAGUUAAAGCUGGAAUGUUUGCCGCUGCAAUGCUCAUUACAGGAAUUUUUGAUGGAAUAUUAUUUUCGUUUUUAAAUCCUUAUUUUAUUGUUUAAGAAAAAUUGUUAUAUCUUUGUACAAACAAUAUCAUUUAUUUAAAUUUUACACUAUUAUGCUAAUAUCAUUUUAACCUAUGUAAAAUACGAUUAAAUAAUCAAAUAAAAAAUUUUGAUAAAAUUACAUUAAAAUAAAA